GACGAACGCUGGCGGCGUGCUUAACACAUGCAAGUCGAACGGGGUUCCUUGGAUAGAGGCUUCGGCCAAUUGAAUUGGAACCUAGUGGCGGACUGGUGAGUAACGCGUGAGGAACCUGCCUUUCAGAGGGGGACAACAGUUGGAAACGGCUGCUAAUACCGCAUGACACAUAAACAGGGCAUCCUGGAUAUGUCAAAGAUUUUAUCGCUGAAAGAUGGCCUCGCGUCUGAUUAGCUAGUUGGUGAGGUAACGGCCCACCAAGGCGACGAUCGGUAGCCGGACUGAGAGGUUGACCGGCCACAUUGGGACUGAGAUACGGCCCAG
rnacentral:rRNA from 1 species